rnacentral:rRNA from 1 species
GUAGGUGGCAAGCGUUGUCCGGAAUUAUUGGGCGUAAAGCGCGCGCAGGCGGUUCGUUUAAGUCUGAUGUGAAAGCCCACGGGCUCAACCGUGGAGGUCAUUGGAAACUGGAGAACUUGAGUACAGAAGAGGAAAGCGGAAUUCCACGUGUAGCGGUGAAAUGCGUAGAGAUGUGGAGGAACACCAGUGGCGAAGGCGGCGUUUCUGGUCUGUAACUGACGCUGAGGCGCGAAAGCGUGGGGGAGCAAACAGGAUUAGAUACCCUGGUAGUCCACGCCGUAAACGAUGAGUGCUAAGUGUUACGGGGGUUUCCGCCCCUUAGUGCUGCAGCUAACGCAUUAAGCACUCCGCCUGGGGAGUACGGCCGCAAAGGCUG